rnacentral:rRNA from 1 species
GAUCCUGGCUCAGGACGAGCGCUGGCGGCGUGCUUAACGCAUGCAAGUCGAACGAGAAUCUGUGGAAAGAGGAUUCGUCCAAUUGAAGCAGAGGACAGUGGCGGACGGGUGAGUAACGCGUGAGGAACCUGCCUUUCAGAGGGGGACGAACAGUUGGAAACGACUGCUAAUACCGCAUAACACAUUGAGGUCGCAUGGCCUUAAUGUCAAAGAUUUAUCG